AUUGAACGCUGGCGGCAGGCCUAACACAUGCAAGUCGAACGAGUGGCGGACUGGUGAGUAAUCUCUGGGAAACUGCCCGUUGGAGGGGGAUAACUACCGGACACGGUAUCUAAUCCCGUAUACUAUCGGAUGUGCCCAGAUGGGAUUAGCUAGUAGGUGGGGUAAUGGCUCACCGAGGCGACGAUCCCUAGCUGGUCUGAGAGGAUGCCCAGCCACACUGGAACUGAGACACGGUCCAGACUCCUACGGGAGGCAGCAGUGGGGAAUAUUGCACAAUGGGCGCAAGCCUGAUGCAGCCAUGCCGCGUGUAUGAAGAAGGCCUUCGGGUUGUAAAGUACUUUCAGCGAGGAGGCGUUACUCGCAGAAGAAGCAGCGGCUAACUCCGUGCCAGCAGCCGCGGUAAUAC
rnacentral:rRNA from 1 species